rnacentral:rRNA from 1 species
UACGGGGGGGGCAAGCGUUGUUCGGAAUUACUGGGCGUAAAGAGCUCGUAGGCGGCUUUGUAAGUUAGAGGUGAAAGCCCGGGGCUCAACUCCGGAAUUGCCUUUAAGACUGCAUCGCUAGAAUUGUGGAGAGGUAAGUGGAAUUCCGAGUGUAGAGGUGAAAUUCGUAGAUAUUCGGAAGAACACCAGUGGCGAAGGCGACUUACUGGACACAUAUUGACGCUGAGGUGCGAAAGCGUGGGGAGCAAACAGG